rnacentral:rRNA from 1 species
GACGAACGCUGGCGGCGUGCUUAACACAUGCAAGUCGAACGGAAAGGCCUCUUUCGGGGGGUACUCGAGUGGCGAACGGGUGAGUAACACGUGAGUAACCUGCCCUUCACUUUGGGAUAACUUCAGGAAACUGGGGCUAAUACCGGAUAGGAGCUCCUGCUACAUGGUGGGGGGUGGAAAGUUUUGGCGGUUGGGGGUGGACUCGCGGCUUAUCAGCUUGUUGGUGGGGUAGUGGCUUACCAAGGCGUUGACGGGUAGCCGGCCUGAGAGGGUGACCGGCCACAUUGGGACUGAGAUACGGCCCAGACUCCUACGGGAGGCAGCAGUGGGGAAUAUUGCACAAUGGGUGGAAGCCUGAUGCAGCAACGCCGUGUGCGGGAUGACGGCUUUCGGGUUGUAAACCGCUUUCGCUCAUGACGAAGCUUUGUGUGACGGUAGUGGGUAAAGAAGCACCGGCUAACUACGUG